AUGAACAAAUCAGUAAAAUGUGCCUGUGAAACUAAUAUAUUUUUCUCAUUAUUUUUCCUUUUCAGGGGGUCAACUAUUUGGGCACAGAACGUGGACUAACAUAACCAUGGUGGGCAGUCUGUGUCUAACACGGGCCAGCUUGCUUUUCAUAGAGAAAAAAGUCCAUAUCCAAUCCGUCUAAAGAAACGAUGAGUUGAUUACAAAAGAAGCCGCCGCGAAGGCUGCCUGCUGGAGGACGAGAGGGCGUGUGGAGCAGAGGUGUGCUAUCUCGGUCGAGGCAGUCCCAUAGCCAGAAGCCCCCCGCCGACCCAGCCGCUGACCCAGCCGCUGACCUCUGACGUGUGAGAGAGUCCAGCUGAGACCACAUCUCUGACUCAUAGAAAGGAACCUGGAUUCCAGACGCAGCGAUGGGAACUCUUAGACCCGUUUACUGAAUUACAGAGCAGCUUAUGUGGGCCUGUGGCUGGUGCUUGUUCAAAUUCCUGAGCAGAAAGGGUUUAGCUGAGGACAUCCGUGUGGCCUGAACAGAGAACUGUCUACAGAGACCUCGGGCUUAUCCACUGGG